UACGAAGGGUGCAAGCGUUAAUCGGAAUUACUGGGCGUAAAGCGUGCGUAGGUGGUCUUUUAAGUCCGUUGUGAAAGCCCUGGGCUCAACCUGGGAAUGGCAGUGGAUACUGGAAGGCUGGAGUACGGUAGAGGAGGGUGGAAUUCCCGGUGUAGCGGUGAAAUGCGUAGAGAUCGGGAGGAACAUCAGUGGCGAAGGCGGCCCUCUGGGCCGUAACUGACGCUGAGGAGCGAAAGCAUGGGGAGCGAACAGG
rnacentral:rRNA from 1 species